AAUAUUUAUUCUACAAUAAGGAUAAGCCUCUCUAGCGAUCAACGACUUUUCAGAUAAUAUAGAUUUCAACAUUAAUCAUAAAAGAACCUUUGAAUAAAUAGUUACCGUACAAUUCAAUCCUUCCACCAUACAAUGUCCCAAUUAAAUAUAAGACAUGGAAUUACUGUCAAGUCUUAUUUUAUUUAAUUAUAUGUAUUUCGAUUCCUAAAUGUACAACUCCGAAUAAAUGCAAAUUAGAAACUACUUUCUAAUUUCAUUUCACCUUGGCCAAGGAUUCUUGAGUUGUUAUUUAUCGAAUCACAUAGGACAUUUCUCUUCUUUUAUUAGAAGUGGUAGAUUCAAUAUUGAUCAUUCAUUAUCUCCAUAUAUAACUUAUUACACCCAAGCAUACCGUUUGAUAUACCCUAAGGGUCUUAAGGAAUAAGUUAAAAUAUAAUUCAUUAUACAUAAGAUACUAUGAUGAUAUCAAGUCUAAGGAUCAUUUGUACUACUAUCACUACAGGAAUUCCUAUUAACGGGCAAGUAAAACUCCAUUAGGUAUUCCUUAGCGAGUCACGUUCAGUGAACUUAUUCUCCAAUAAGCACCUACAUACUUGUUUUAGUGUCUCCACACAAAUGAUCAUGAGAUCAAUCAUUCUUAUCCAAUGAACAAACAACGUAUGUAUCAAUCUAUCUAGAUUCACUAAUCCCCUUUUUAGUAAUUCAUUAAUUGAGAACAUUUUAAUUUUAAGCUAUCUAAGAAUUUAGAUCUCAUUAGCAUGAUCUCAUCAUGAUUCUAAAAGCACUGCUUAAAACUAUGGGUUUAUAACAUAUUAUUAAAACAUCACCAUGUAGAUAAUAAAUGCCUUUAAUAAAUAAUUCUUUUAUUAAUAAAUAAUUAAGAUUGAUUACAAAGUAUAUGAUUUAUCAUCACGCAUGAUUGACUUGUUUGCAUACUACUUUCAUUCUCCCCUGUCUCUUUGGAUGAAAUCUAACUAUUCGGAAGGAUUGUAUCUAUAUAUAUUCACUAACUAUUUGGGAUGAAUGUACCUGUAUACUAACCUAACUACUAAUACUCAGGCUUUAUCUAUUUUGUUUACUUCUUAUUCUGACUCUUCAGGGAAUAUACUUUAUGCUUUAACUAACUGUUGCUACAGGUGAAUGGAAACAGUAUUUCCUUACCCCCCCCUCCCAUUUUUAUAAUGACAAAAGGGGAGAAGAAAAAUAUCAAAUGGCAUGUCUAUAAUAACUGGUAUAUACUUAUGAGAUGGAUAUUUGAAUGUGAUGGAUAUAAACUGCUAUAAAUUGUUAUAUUUUACUUUCAGUUGGUUUUUUCAAAAAAUUGAAAUUUCUUUUCAAAACCGAUUCAUGAUCGAAGGGGGAGCUUCAUGAAUUAAGGGGGAAUUCUAAAAACAAAAAUAUUUUUUCUUAUUGUCAUCGUCAAAAAGGGAGAUAAUGAUAGGUCUCCAAAUCUGGUGGUUUUAUUUUGAUGUGAACAAAUUAGGAAAAUAGGUCAAAUGGGUAGAAUCCUCUCCAUGGGAUUAAAAUAAAUUAGACGGAGCAACAUUCCCAAGCAUUAUGUUGUGAACCAUAUAACUUCUGUUCAUCCUCACUAUUAUUAAAAUCAAGCUAUUGUGAAUAUCUUUGGUCUGUGUGCAAAGAUAAUAUGAUUGGUGAAUGUUUUUGGCCUGCAUGGCAAGGACAUGUGGUAAAUAGUUCUCUUUGAUCGUAGUGCAAAGAUGGACUGUUCAUUGACAUGAUCAUGACCAUUGGUGUUAUAAUUUAAUAUAUUUGGUCUGUAGUGCAAAGUUGAAUUGUUGAUUUACAUGAUUAUGAUUAGGAACUACCGAUUGGUGUUACAGGGAUAAAGUAUUGAUGGUGAACUUUUAAAUUGGGAAAGAUUAUGAGCAUCAUGAUCUAUAUUAUUCUCCUAUUUAAUUGUUAUUUCUGCUGUAGUUGUUGAUUUAGCUAAAACUUGUUGUCUAUUAUAUUCUAUUAGAUUUUUCACUGUUGAAGGCUAAGAAUAAUUUAUUCUUCAUUAUUUUAGUCAUGAUAUUCUUUACUGGGCUAUUUGAGCUCAUCUUUUUCCUUUUUGUUCCAUUGUUCUUCUUAGGAAAUGAGAGUGUAGCUAGGACUAGCCGGGGUGUGGAGUGAUGGUCCAAGAUAGUUACUAUAGUAGUCUUCACCAUGUUGUAAAAUAGUGUGACAAUAAUCAUGUUGAGAACUUAUAACACGUGUUCUCGUAUCUUAUACAACAUUGUAAUAAUUUGGGUGUGGAUAUUGUCUUAAUAUCUACGACAUUGUAAUAAGAGAAUAUAUGGUUGUGGUAUGUAUUUUGGCGAUCCAAAUUGAGUUGUUUGGUCCCUAUUUUGGGGGCGUCAUACUUGGGGUAACUUAGGUGUUUAAAGGCUUGUUGAACAUGCUAAGUGCAAUCAUGUUUCUUACGAAAAAUGGGUUAGUUAUAGUUUUUAUUUUAUUUUUAUUUUACUUGAGGACGAGCAAAAGUUAGGUAUGGGGGUAUUUGAUAGACUCAUAAUUCAUAGAUUUAUUAUUCCUAUUUUUGUCCUUUUAAUUAUAUUAGUUUAUUAAAUUAAUAUAUUUUGUUUUGAUUUGUAGGAUUUAAUAUUUUGUUGUAAUAAAGUCAAAAUCUUGAUGAUCAAAUAAUAUUUAAUGCUCUUAUUCAUGUAAGGAAAUGUCCAAGAAGAAUCUUACAAUGAGAAGGAAGGAGAUGGAACAAUCUUGGUGUGCAAGUCAAAUCUAACACGAGAAAGGAAAGUUCAUCUAGAAGAUAUAUUUGAGAAGUUGAUUGUCACUAUGAAGUUGAAACCUACAUGGAAAAUAAUUGAGCUUUGAUGCCUAUAAAUAGAGAGAUGUUAGGUUUUCUUUUAUGUAUUAGUUUAGGUUAGGAGUAUGAUUAAAUUAUUUUUUCAUUGUACACUCGUUGGAUGAUAGUUAAUAAAGAGAGUUUUCUUGUUUAUUUUUAAUCUUCUACUUCUUUUUCUUUAUCUUACUUAGUUUAUUUAUUUUUCAUGUCUAAUUAAUUUCUUUAAUCUAGGACGAAGAUGAAAUUAAAUAAUUAUUCAUGCUAGUAUUCUCCAUCUCUUCUAUUAUUUAUGUUUUUUAUGUUUAAUUGAUUUCGUCUUUAUGUUUCGUUAUUGAAAUACAUUCAUUUUAUAAUUCUUAUGUGAUUUUAAAUUAAUU
rnacentral:lncRNA from 1 species